rnacentral:lncRNA from 1 species
ACAGGCACAUCCGUUUACACAGAGGUUUACAUAACGAAGCCAAAACAGACAAGGAAGCACAGGCCAGACGAACAGCCUGGAGAGGGUUAAGUUCAGCCAGUGGUAUUGACACAGCGUUUUCUUUCCAGACCACAGAGCUGCGCGCUGAUGCUAUCUCUGUAAUUCUUCGUGCAGCAUUCUCAAAGCCCCUUUAUUCAGAUCCUCAAUGCAGAAGGUAGGGUUGGGCCUGAAGAGGUGGUUAAGUCCCAGGCAGAGGUGGAAACAUGACCCAGGACUCCUGACGCACAGCCUUUGUCCUUUCAGCUCUACCACGCCAGCCACCUUCCUGUCAGGUGUCUGGUAAGCAGGUUAACUGAUCUGUCGAUUAGGAGCCGCCAGCCUACGUGCAGCGACUGGGGAACGCAGCCCUUCCCGGUGUCUGCCUUGCCAGCGCUAACUGCAAACCAGUGACGCAAACUGUCUCACGGAGAACCUCAUCAAGCACCUCGCCGAGAGUAGCCUAGGGCCGGGCCCCGCGGGCUCCCUUCCUCCCUCCUGGGACCCACUCCAGGAGCCUUGCCGCCUGUCUGGUGUAACUUGUCUGAAACCCAGGAGUCAAGACGAAGUCCUGAAGAAAGCACUUCAGACUGUUUCCAGGCCUCAAGAGAUAGCUAAACUUAUUAAUGCUGUCUCCCUUUUAUUGGAUGUGUGCCUCAAAGAGCAUUUUUCUCACCCUAUUCAAUUAGUUACAAGUCUCUUCCCUUACGUUUAUGUAAUCUGAGCUAGGACCACUUGGGACUAGUGGCCUGACUGCCUCUCCCUGAACAGGGACCAGAGCAUUGCUGCCACUUGCCAGCUGACCCCAGGCCACUGCAGUCUAGCCUCAUUCGCUUGCUUCUAUCCUUCCCAGGGAGCUUCAUUUCUAGAGAAAGUUUCCUUUUCCACGCAGUUUAUGCGUCCCGAGGCCUGGGCCCACACUAACUUCUGUGUGAAAGUUGGUGUGCUGAGCUCAGGCCAAGGCCAAGCUCUGUUCUCGACAGACCCUCCAAGGGGUUACUAGCCGUAUCUGGCCCCUGUUCUUAUGAGAGCAUUCAGACAUGCAGACUCGGGGGUGCAGAGGAAGGAAGAAGAACACCUGCACGCUGAGGGGACCUCGGGAGACAGGCAACCUUCCAGCCUGUGAUCAUCAACAUCACAUCUCCAGAACCAUGAGAGAAUAUAUUUCUGUGGUGAAAGCGGCCCAGGUCUGCCAUAGCAAUUGGUACUGGGGAACUGAUUCUCAUCUGGGUACCUGUGCC